rnacentral:rRNA from 1 species
CAGUCGCCGCGGUAAGACGAACCGUGCGAACGUUAUUCGGAAUCACUGGGCUUAAAGCGCGUGUAGGCGGGCCGUCACGUCGGCUGCUGAAAUCCCCCGGCUCAACCGGGGAAGUGGCACCGAUACGAGCGGCCUUGAGGGGGGUAGGGGGGUCUGGAACUUCCGGUGGAGCGGUGAAAUGCGUUGAGAUCGGAAGGAACGCCCGUGGCGAAAGCGAGGCCCUGGACCCUUUCUGACGCUGAGACGCGAAAGCCAGGGGAGCGAACGGGAUUAGAUACCCCAGUAGUCCCUGUCUCUUAUA